CCUACGGGUGGCAGCAGUGAGGAAUAUUGGUCAAUGGGCGAGAGCCUGAACCAGCCAAGUCGCGUGAGGGAGUACUGCCCUAUGGGUUGUAAACCUCUUUUGUCGGGGAGCAAAAGCCGGACGUGUCCGGCUGUGAGAGUACCCGAAGAAAAAGCAUCGGCUAACUCUGUGCUAGCAGCCGCGGUAAUACGGAGGAUGCGAGCGUCAUCCGGAUUUAUUGGUUUAAAGGGGUGCGCAGGCGGAUUUUUAAGUAGGCGGUAAAAUCGUGGGGCUCAACCCCAUCCAGCCGUUGAAACUGGGGGUCUAGAGUGUGCGUGAGGUAGGCGGAAUGCGUGGUGUAGCGGUGAAAUGCAUAGAUAUCACGCAGAACCCCGAUUGCGAAGGCAGCAUACCGGUGCACAACUGACGCUCAGGCACGAAAGCGUGGGUAUCGAACAGGAUUAGAUACCCUGGUAGUC
rnacentral:rRNA from 1 species